CAGCAGUUGUGUUUGGCUCAGGCGGGCUUUGUUGCCUAGCAUUUUCAGCGGUUGCAGAUUGCCAUCUUCAGGGCUUCAACGACAAAGAAUACAAUUUAUAUACUACCAGUCAAAAGGAUCUCCAAAAGGAGUUGCAGUUUAUAUAUGAAAUUGGAAAGAAGCAUGGGUACAAGUACAGAUUCAUGAGGCAAAUACAGAGGAAAGUUAAGCAUGACAUGUAUAUGAAAAGAUCUACCAACUUAAACUCAGAAAACGAAACAGAGAAUGAUGAAUAUGUGCCAAUGUCAUUGCGAGUGGCAAAGCGUGCCACAACAAAAAGCAUCUUAAAUAAGAUUAAGAAGAAACCAGUGAUAUAUAGAGUGCCCACUGUCUUCAACAGCAUAAGAAAUGAGAAGAAAAAAAAGUCAAAGACAAAAGUCAGGAAUUUAUAAGAUCCUGGUUGAGUUCAAAAAAUCAAAACAAAAUUCUUCAUUUAUAGGUGUUAUUACGAGGACUUUACAUCAGAGGAUUAUGGAGCAC
rnacentral:lncRNA from 1 species